rnacentral:snoRNA from 1 species
CUUCUGUGAUGAUACGAUGACGAGUCAGAAGGGACUCUCCUUGCAGAGGGUUCCCUGGCCAGUGCCGCGUUCUGUGGGGCUGAGCUUGUGAUUCCUUUAGCGAAGGAGGGUCCUAGCCAUUGGAUGAUUUCGAGGCAUUUGUCUGAGAAGG